AGAACAUCCACGUGAGGGCACCCGCUGAGAGGGUCCUCUCUGUUAUCAGCGCGGAGGCAUUCACAGAGACAAAUGGUAACCUGGAAGAUCUGGAGGAGGAUGCCAGAGCAGACAUCCUCGAGGAAGUCACCUCAGGGGUUCACAUGGUAAAGUCUUCUUUUAUCCUCUGAAAUGGAAAUUUUAUUUCUCUCGAUUUCUCUCUUGUUUCAAUGGAACUAAGAUGUAUACAUCUUACCAUGUACAUUAUAGGUGACGACAGAAUUUCUUGGUGGGCAAAUGUCAGAGUUCAUUAUCAACUAAAACAUGGUUUCAGAUGGCAUCCGCAUUUACACACUGUGUGUCAGCAGGCAUUUUUCUCAAGAGAAAUGCCUUCUUCUUGAGAAGUAUUUGGAAUUGUCAAACAAAAACAUUGGAAAAUCUUGUAGAAAAAUCUUGUGCCUUUCCACGAAUGUCUUCUAGAUAUCGCUUACUUUUCCC